GGGAGAGUGGCUGGCGCAAACUAAUCUCCAAACAAACAGCAACAGAGCUCCCACAUGGACAGGUGACAUUCACUGGCUGCUUACUUCCGACGCAGACAACGCCAAGGGUUGCAGCUUGCUGCACAGUUUGUUCCACCGGGAUGCAAACGGACCAUUCCCGACAGGACUUGCAGGGUUGCAGUUUGCUGCGCAGUUCGUUCCCCCGGGAUGCAAAGGAACCAUUCCGGACAGGACUUGCAGCUUCUGUUUUUUGCCACUGCUUGUCAAGACGGGGGGGGUCGCAGCUUGCUGCGAGAUUUGUUCUUCAGUGACGCAAACGGACUGGACCGGACAUGGCUUGAAGGUGCAGGUCUUUGGAGGUGGGAGGAAGCCGGAGUACCCGGAGGGAACCCACGCAGUCACGGGGAGGACAUGCAAACUCCACACUGGGAUUGAACCCAGGACUGCAGGACCUUCGUAUUGUGAGGCAGACGCACUAACCCCUCUCCCACUGUGAUGCCAUGGUCUAAAAAUAUCUAGAUAUUAAAAAAAGGCCAUAUCGCCCAUGCAGUCCUACAUGUAUAUAUAUUAUUCCGAAACUCUGAGGAUGCUGCUUCUCAGCGUGUUAUGUUUGGCUUAACAGGUGACCAGUCAACCAGUCUAAAGACAGUUGGGAUAGGCUCCAGCUCCCCAUACUGUAAAUGAGA